UGGGGAAUAUUGGACAAUGGGCGAAAGCCUGAUCCAGCCAUGCCGCGUGUGUGAAGAAGGUCUUCGGAUUGUAAAGCACUUUAAGUUGGGAGGAAGGGCAUUAACCUAAUACGUUAGUGUUUUGACGUUACCGACAGAAUAAGCACCGGCUAACUCUGUGCCAGCAGCCGCGGUAAUACAGAGGGUGCAAGCGUUAAUCGGAAUUACUGGGCGUAAAGCGCGCGUAGGUGGUUUGUUAAGUUGGAUGUGAAAUCUCCGUGCUCAACCUGGGAACUGCAUUCAAAACUGACUGACUAGAGUAUGGUAGAGGGUGGUGGAAUUUCCUGUGUAGCUGUGAAAUGCGUAGAUAUAGGAAGGAACACCAGUGGCGAAGGCGACCACCUGGACUAAUACUGACACUGAGGUGCGAAAGCGUGGGGAGCAAACA
rnacentral:rRNA from 1 species